GACGAACGCUGGCGGCGUGCUUAACACAUGCAAGUCGAACGGAAAGGCCCUGCUUGCCGGGUACUCGAGUGGCGAACGGGUGAGUAACACGUGGGUGAUCUGCCCUGCACUUCGGGAUAAGCCUGGGAAACUGGGUCUAAUACCGGAUAGGAGCCAUUUUUAGUGUGAUGGUUGGAAAGUUUUUUCGGUGUAGGAUGAGCUCGCGGCCUAUCAGCUUGUUGGUGGGGUAAUGGCCUACCAAGGCGGCGACGGGUAGCCGGCCUGAGAGGGUGGACGGCCACAUUGGGACUGAGAUACGGCCCAGACUCCUACGGGAGGCAGCAGUGGGGAAUAUUGCACAAUGGGCGCAAGCCUGAUGCAGCGACGCCGCGUGGGGGAUGACAGCCUUCGGGUUGUAAACUCCUUUCGCUAGGGACGAAGCUUUUUGUGACGGUACCUAGAUAAGAAGCACCGGCUAACUACGUG
rnacentral:rRNA from 1 species